rnacentral:rRNA from 1 species
AUUGAACGCUGGCGGCAUGCCUAACACAUGCAAGUCGAACGGCAGCACGGCAGUAGCAAUACUGUGGGUGGCGAGUGGCGGACGGGUGAGUAAUGCAUCGGAACGUGCCAUUGAGUGGGGGAUAACGUAGCGAAAGUUGCGCUAAUACCGCAUAUUCUGUGAGCAGGAAAGCAGGGGACCGCAAGGCCUUGCGCUCUUUGAGCGGCCGAUGUCAGAUUAGCUAGUUGGUGAGGUAACGGCUUACCAAGGCGACGAUCUGUAGCGGGUCUGAGAGGAUGAUCCGCCACACUGGAACUGAGACACGGUCCAGACUCCUACGGGAGGCAGCAGUGGGGAAUUUUGGACAAUGGGCGCAAGCCUGAUCCAGCCAUGCCGCGUGAGUGAAGAAGGCCUCGGUGUAAGACGUACUUUCGGUCCGGGUAACGGAAAGUACGAC